GACGAACGCUGGCGGCGUGCUUAACACAUGCAAGUCGAACGGAAAGGCCCUGCUCUUGUGGGGUGCUCGAGUGGCGAACGGGUGAGUAACACGUGAGUAACCUGCCCUUGACUUUGGGAUAACUUCAGGAAACUGGGGCUAAUAUCGGAUAGGAGCUCCUGCUGCAUGGUGGGGGUUGGAAAGUUUCGGCGGUUGGGGAUGGACUCGCGGCUUAUCAGCUUGUUGGUGGGGUAGUGGCUUACCAAGGCUUUGACGGGUAGCCGGCCUGGGAGGGGGACCGGCCACAUUGGGACUGAGAUACGGCCCAGACUCCUACGGGAGGCAGCAGUGGGGAAUAUUGCGCAAUGGGCGGAAGCCUGAUGCAGAGGCGCCGCGUGCGGGAUGACGGCCUUCGGGUUGUAAACCGCUUUCGCCUGUGACGAAGCGUGAGUGACGGUAAUGGGUAAAGAAGCACCGGCUAACUACGUG
rnacentral:rRNA from 1 species